CAGCUCAUAGUUUAGUUUAAAAUGUUGGUUUUGGGGAUCAAGGUCUUCUUAUUUAGGAGUGUGCUGA
rnacentral:tRNA from 1 species